UUUGUGGACCAUUAGCAUCAUGACACAUACUAAAUUAAGCUAUCAUGUUAUCGGCUUACUCACGUAACUGUUUGACGAGGAACUCUAAUAGCUUCAAGUCAUGCUUUUUUUUUUGUUUUUGAGGGGUUAAAAUCAUCCAAUGACUUCUCCCGCCUUGGGCGAGACGAGAUGGAGUGUCAGACUCUUACUGACUAAAAACCACCCCGUUCCUACUCCUGCUUUUCAAGCCGGAGCCCCGGUAAACCCGCUAGGUAGACCGGCGAUUGUAGCGCUGCUACUGACAACUCCUCGUUAAACAGUUAGGUGAGUAAGCCGGUAACAUAAUUGUUUUUGGGGCUGUUUAAGAUUCCAGAUAAGUAUUUGCGAUUGGGAUGUUUUGGUGCAGUUUGGUGAUGGUGUUUAAGUAAAAAUAGCAACGUCACGUCUUUUAUCCCUGAAGUGGUAGACAGAGGUGCACAUUACGGCACGUAAUGUCGCUAUACAAUGUACACUCACUUUUCACCAUUUGUGUUAUAAGUCCCAUGUAAUAGGGGGUGAGUCUAAUGCUAUAUGUAUGAAUGUUGGUGUUUAAGUGAGUGGUUAUUACUGUGUUCUGUGGGUGUGAUAGGUUUUGAUGUCCAUGUUAUCGAGUGGUUUUUGGUGGUCAUAGCUAAUAAAUGUUUAGUUGGUGCUGUAUUCUAACGAUUGAAGGUGCUUUUCCACCAGAGAUGUGCUAUGCUACGUUGCUGUGGAUGCGUUUGGCUUCCACCAAUCAUAUUAAUUGGUACACAUAACUUAGCACUUGUGGUUUUUUAAAGGAAAAGUGCGUGCUAUGGAUGGCUUCCCUACUAUAGAUACAUCGCAUACUCGAGCUACGCAUCUUUCUCGCACAGCUACAUAGUAUCAAUGGAAACGGUCACAUAGUUUCACAGCUUAGCUAUUACAUCUUUGUAGCACAUCUCUGGUGGAAAGUACCGUAUUGUUAUUGCUUGUGAUGAAGUUAGUUAGUGAUAAUUGGUGACCAUAGUAAUAGGUAUUUGUUAUUAUAAAAGUAUAGGUGAUAAUAUAUUCUAUCUAGCGAUUGUGUUAUAUGAUGUAAAUUAAUAAUAUAAUUACUAUGUGGUGUGGUUAUUACAAUAAAUUGGUGAGAAAUAUUGAAACAGUUUAGUAGUAGAAUCAGGUAUUUUCGUUUCGGGACAUUUAUUAUAUUAAUGUUUUACGUAUUAUUUGGCUACUGCAGUAGUAAAUAGGUGUAUAAUUAGCUCAAAUGACGCUCUAGUCCAGUGUUUUGGCUCUACAAUCCAUUAGAAGAUCUCUAAGUCCAAUGGUUUAGGCUGUGCAUUAAUAGAUCACUAUGACAGUCAGUAUCGGCGCAUUCCAAUAACCUACCUAUCGGUAGAUUUGCCUACCAGAGGUAGAAUUUUGACAAAAUGUGGUAAGUCAGUUACAUUUGAGUUGUAUAUGUUUAGAUAUUCCUAGAAAAUCGAAGGCCUCAAGAUAAUGAUCUAAAUUUCAUAUGGACGAAAAGCUUAUUAAAAGCAAAUUAAAACACUACACUCCCAUUUUAAGAUAUCCAUAUAAUCUAUAUAUUAAUACGUGAUGCAAAAACUUUAUAUCCAUUUUUACGAAAAUUGGGCGGACGUAGGAGCAUAAAAUUUGGUACACUUAUAGUUUAUGUGUAGGAGAAGUGCAGAACGCUAAUAUUUUUCAAUAAUAAUGCUUAUAAAGUACAUUAAAUCAAUAAAUAAAACAUUACACACACAUGCAUAGUAUCUGAUCGUAUUUGACAAAACGUCAAAAUUGACAGACAUUGCGAUGAUAUUCUCACGUCUUAUAUGAAUAGAGUUUUAUAAAAGAAUUUCUUUGAGUUUGAGUUAAAUAAAAAUUAUCCUUGAACGUAUGUUAAGUGGUAUUGUAAAUUAAAUCGUAUAUGGUCGAAUUUCGGCCACUAGGCGACCACUAGUAUAAUUAAGCAUACAAAAUAACCAAAAACUGCAAACCACAUCACCAAAAAAUGACAGCAACCACUUAGCAACAUAAUACAUAUAUCGAUCCUAUACCAAAACCCGACUUGUUGCCUUCCGAUAGCAUCUACCCGACAAAUCCUAGGCUAUUUAUACAGGGGUGCUAAAUCGCGAGGUUGGUUUAGCACGCAAAGCAUGUCAAGGAGACCUGGCUAGUCCUUGUAACAGUUAUACUGGUGAAAAAAAUGGGACUGUACACCAUAUUGCCUACUACCGUUAUAUAAGGGACUGUCGCCUCGAAGUCUGGCUUGCAAUUGUUGGUCAGUAGGCCAGCCGGUUGAUAUCGAGUUGUUCAGUGGCGUUGUAGUUUUAAUUUCCCUAUGAAAUAUAAUGUCAGGUUUGAUCGUUGGUUCAGGGAAAGAUUCGCGAUUAUUUGACGAGGAAUUCGACUAGUUUCAAGCUAUGCUAGAGGCUCAUAUUCAUGAGCAGUAUUCCGCCAUACACGAAUUACGUGAGUAAGCCGAAAAAUAUUAUAAUUAGUAUUGUCUCACGAAAGUUAUAAUAUAAACAGGGAAAUAUUCAUUGGGUAUCACUGGGAUUCUGGAUUUGCCAAGGAUAUUCGAUUACCUAUGUGUCUUAACCCGUGGUAUGAAAUGUUGAUCUACACAAGAUACAAUAUAUGUUUUUAUCGUGUCUCACCUGUAUAUUAAUACAGGUAGACAAGAGGUUACAGAUCUGCCACCUGGAUUUGUCUUUUUUUAGGUGGGAUAAUCAUCUAAUGACUUCUCUCGCUUUAAGCGAGGCGAGAGGGAGUGUCAGACUCUUACUGACCACUCCGUUCAUACUCCUGCUUUUCGAGCCGGAGCCCCGGUAAUCGGCUUGGUACCGUGGUGGAGCCGUUGGUAGCUUCCGAACCCGCACUCUCAUGCAUGAGAAGCGGGCGUCUUAAACCUCCGGGCCACCACUAUAUCUCACACUAUUUAGUUCCUUAAAAAAACUAGUAAUAUAGAGCAGUAAUGGGGACAUCCACAGUCCACACCUCUAUGCAAAAAAUGUGACCGACAACAGACUAUCUAUUUAUACACGAGACGCGACAAAAUUAUACACAUGACGCGAUUCACAUAUAAAUACUUGUAUAAAAACAUUUUAAAACUAUUCAAAUAGAUCGUGAGAUCUCGCUCUCAAUAGCGAUUUAACAAUAUUUUUCGCUUAUAAUAACUUGUAGCAGCGCGACUAUCGCCGUGUCGUGGGUCGCGGAAUGCUGCUCAUGAUUAUGAACCUCUAGCAUGGCUUGAAACUAGUCGAGUUCCUCGUCAAACAGUUACGUGAAUAAGCCGAUAUCAUAAUACGAAUGUUGUGUCAAUUAUUCAUAUCAGCAAAAGGACUACACAUUUGGCAGAGACCGGGCAGAGAGUGCUCUGAUAAACCUGAACCUUUCAGCAUAAGCUAUGAUUGCACAAAGGAGAUAGAAAUUUUCAAUCUAAUGAUUUUGGAUGACUAAAGAUUUUGGAGAACUAGAAACCAACGAAUUAAUCUUUUAGUAAACAAUAAAUGAGUAACCAUUCCUCAUGUAUUCUAUGUAGGUAUAAUUUUAUCUCAUGUAUACUAGCAGAACAAAUCAGAAGGACAAUUUUUCAAUGAGAAUCUUUUGCUCAUUUUAACCCUAAUUCAACGUCACACCCACUUUUCACCAUUAGUAAAUCCCAUGUAAAAGGGGGUGAACCUAUUGCCAUAUUAUUAUACUGGUCACAACUCUAGAAAUACUUUGCCCGACUCGGGAAUCGAACCCAAGAUGCCUUGUCGCAAUUGCAACCGCUCGAUAAACGGGAUACCUAGUCACCCUAAUUCUUAAUAAGACAGCCUAAUAUUACGCUACCAUACUAAAGAAGAACCUAUGACCCUGUUCAAAGUAUACAAAGAACGGCCUCCCCUACAAGGGGACCCCCUUACAUUAAUUAAGAAUGCGAUACGUCACUUUUACGCGACUUACGUGUCAUUCAUCGUCUCGUACGUCACGCAAGGAAUGUGUUUUCAUUAAUUUCCGUGUCAUUAAGGAGUCCCCUUCUUUCUGAAGUCAACAAGGAUGAAGCGAGGUUGACUGUCCAGGCGACACACGUACUUAGGUAUCGUCAUGAGCUAAUGUUCACAUGUAAACAGCAGCUCAUGUAGUGUCCAAAAAUCGUCUCUAGUAUAAUUUUUGUUACGUCUUUGGGAUAAGACAAUAGACAAACAAUCGAUAAAACUAAUUGUAUUACGAUAUUUGCGGCGCAACCCUACAUGUGUGUCAUUAGCGAGAUUAGUGAUGUAACCACAUCUCAAAUUGGUUUAUCGAUAAAUACAUUUUAUUAUUAUUUUGUCGAUAAGAUCUUGUUUAGAUUAUUUUUGUUUGUCUUUUAUAUGUCCUAACCUUAUUUAAUUUAAAACGUUUAAGAAUAUAUGUAUAUUGGAUUUUUUUUCUAAAGUUUAGUGAGUAGGUAGUUAACUGGUAAUUUAAUGAAAAUCGACAAUAAAAAAUCUAAAUGAUGGUUUGGUUACAACAAUUAGCUCCAAAAAUAACAUAAUUUAAUAAAAAAUACUAUGGACUUGUUUUACCAUGUCUAGAUAGCCAGAUAAUUUUGAAUUAAGCAUGUUUUGUAUACACUAUCUGUGACAUAAGUUUAUCGGGCAUUUAUAUGAAGGUGGUGAAACAGGCACUAUGUCUAAAAAUUAACAUACCUAUUGACAUGACGUAUUCAAAUAAUUUUCUUUCACGCUACAACUUGAAAACGACUGUAUACAAAGCCGAAACUUUUAUCACUCAAUUUU